rnacentral:rRNA from 3 species
UGGGGAAUUUUGCGCAAUGGGGGCAACCCUGACGCAGCAACGCCGCGUGCGGGACGACGGCCUUCGGGUUGUAAACCGCUUUCAGCAGGGAAGAAAUUCGACGGUACCUGCAGAAGAAGCUCCGGCUAACUACGUGCCAGCAGCCGCGGUAAUACGUAGGGAGCGAGCGUUAUCCGGAUUCAUUGGGCGUAAAGAGCGCGUAGGCGGCCUCUCAAGCGGGAUCUCUAAUCCGAGGGCUCAACCCCCGGCCGGAUCCCGAACUGGGAGGCUCGAGUUCGGUAGAGGCAGGCGGAAUUCCCGGUGUAGCGGUGGAAUGCGCAGAUAUCGGGAAGAACACCGAUGGCGAAGGCAGCCUGCUGGGCCGCAACUGACGCUGAGGCGCGAAAGCUAGGGGAGCGAACAGG